rnacentral:rRNA from 1 species
UACGAAGGGGGCUAGCGUUGCUCGGAAUCACUGGGCGUAAAGGGCGCGUAGGCGGCCAUUCAAGUCGGGGGUGAAAGCCUGUGGCUCAACCACAGAAUUGCCUCGAUACUGUACGGCUCGAGACCGGAAGAGGUGAGUGGAACUGCGAGUGUAGAGGUGAAAUUCGUAGAUAUUCGCAAGAACACCAGUGGCGAAGGCGGACUCACUGGUCCGGUUCUGACGCUGAGGCGCGAAAGCGUGGGGAGCAACAGG